AGAAAUGUUUUCAAUAAAGGCUUUGGAAAAGUCUGAUGUUCAUGAUAUCACACACUUCUGUUGAAGCAGAAAAUGAGGUGAAGAACUAAUUCCACCCUGGCCAUGGUUUAGGUAGCUCUCUCUCUGGUGCUGCUUCUGAGAGGUUCUGCUGGUUAAUCCUGAGCAGACAGUUAUUCCAAGGUUAACAAGCUGUGUUGAAUUCCCACAAGAAGUAAGAAGAAUUCUUCUGCUUUGGGCACACACACUCGACUAAACUUUUUGGAGGAAAAUAUUCCUUCCUUCUGUGCUUGUACUACAGCUGAGAAUAAAAAAAGAGGUAAUACUCCCCUGACAAAGCCUUCAGACCAUCAUUCUGUAGAGUUCUUACAUGAUAGCAAGAAUACAAGAAAGUCAAAGUACUAAAUACACCUGAAUUUAAAGGUUGUUCUCAAUUUCAACUGUAUGGAUUACAUUGACUGGAAUGUGGUGUUUUCCUUACUGGUCAUAAGACCAAAUAUUGUCCUGACUUGCGCCCCUCUGGAAUGCUGAAUUUUGUUUUGCAGACUGGGAUCAUGUUUCUUAGGGAUUUGCAAGUUGUUUAAAAGGAAAAAUUUGUAAUCUGACAGUGAUCACCAAUUUAUUUAAUGUUUGGGUCUUGAGAAAGAGCUAUAUUCACUCCUUUCAGUUUGGCAGAUGUUUCAAGUGUGAACAAGGGCAUAAAUGAAAAGCCAUGGAAGAAGUCAGAUUUUCUAUGGAGCUGUGUACCGUAAAAAUAAUAACAAAGGGAAAUGGAAAGCCACUAAAAUAAAAGACUGUGAUCCAGUUUAUGUCCACACAUGGUAAGGCAUUAUCAAAAAGUUAUUUCUCCCAGUUAAUCAUUAAAUGCACUCUUACACUCUUAAAAACUCAUGUGAGGAACACUUUUCGGACAGAAAAGAAAAGUACACACAAUGGAUAUGUAGUACGAAGCAUGUAAACCAACAAAAUAACAGCUGUCUGUUCUGUAUAGCUCUAUAUUCUUUUACAGCUAGGUUGUUUCAUUAAUAAUUCCAGAGCAUUAGAAUGUAUUGUGUUAUUCUGUAAAGCUUGUUGUACAGAAACAAUUCAAUAAAUGAAAAGUCUGAA